GGCUUCAUUAUAUUUGUAUGUGGGUCCAGCUACUCCUGGUAUCCAGAAAAGGUAAAUGUGGCCACAUGGGCCAACAAGUCAUGUUUCCAUCACAGCAGGCUUGUUGUCAUGGUGACAAUGAGAACUAUGACGUGU
ensembl:snoRNA